GACGAACGCUGGCGGCGUGCCUAAUACAUGCAAGUCGAGCGAACAGACGAGGAGCUUGCUCCUCUGACGUUAGCGGCGGACGGGUGAGUAACACGUGGAUAACCUACCUAUAAGACUGGGAUAACUUCGGGAAACCGGAGCUAAUACCGGAUAAUAUAUUGAACCGCAUGGUUCAAUAGUGAAAGACGGUUUUGCUGUCACUUAUAGAUGGAUCCGCGCCGCAUUAGCUAGUUGGUAAGGUAACGGCUUACCAAGGGAACGAUGCGUAGCCGACCUGGGAGGGUGAUCGGCCACACUGGAACUGAGACACGGUCCAGACUCCUACGGGAGGCAGCAGUAGGGAAUCUUCCGCAAUGGGCGAAAGCCUGACGGAGCAACGCCGCGUGAGUGAUGAAGGUCUUCGGAUCGUAAAACUCUGUUAUUAGGGAAGAACAAAUGUGUAAGUAACUAUGCACGUCUUGACGGUACCUAAUCAGAAAGCCACGGCUAACUACGUG
rnacentral:rRNA from 1 species